rnacentral:lncRNA from 1 species
AAUAAUCAAUAAAUACACUAAUUACAACAAUAUAAUACAACAGAGGGAGUGUAUAAAAUGCUCCAAAUGAGUUUUAGUACAUACUAUAGUGCUGGAACUAUAUUACAAUCAUUGAAAAAUUAUAAAAUAACUAAUGAUAGUUAUUUUAUAAAUUUAUUAAUGGUUACUUCAAAUCACUUCAGAGCAUAACUAUGUAUACAUGCAAACUAUAAAACUAUUUAGUGGAACCGAAUAUUUUACGUACAAUGAAGUAAGCUAUAACAGAAAAUAUGCGACGCUUGAUGCGGCCUCUAAUAGGAGGCAGGACUCGCUGGUUGCGAUGCAUCUUCUUCAUUUUCUCCUCCAUUUGAUUCUAUUUGGAAGAAUCUUUU